rnacentral:tRNA from 1 species
GGCGCCGUGGCCGCGUGGUUAGGCAGAGGCCUGCAAAGCCUCGCACAGCGGUUCGAUUCCG